UACUUCCUGGUUUCUGACUUCAGUGAGAGGAGGAGCCUGGUGCCCCAGAGGGUUGGUUACCCACAGGGGGCUGUUCAUGUCAGAAUGCAUCUAGGGCUGGCCACGAGAAGCAGCUCAUGAAACAUCACACCUCACAGGGCGUAGGUGUUUGAGGUCAGCAGCUCAUUAGACAUUUCUGGGCACUUGGAAACCAGAUGCCUCAGUCCCUUGUUUGGGGGUAUCAUACUGUGUGGAGGAGAAAAAGAAAAAAAAAUUGAGCUAUACAGGCUGUAUUACAGAAGAUAAAUAUACUGCUUACAACUUCAUGUUUCAGAGGCCUUCACUCAAAAGUUACUAAAAGAGACACAAAAGCUCCCAGAAGGAAACAUCAGAGAUUUAUUCUUAAGCACAGAAGAGAGGGGGAACAAGUGAGCCUGCCAAG
rnacentral:lncRNA from 1 species